rnacentral:rRNA from 1 species
GCCUUCAGCCAUACCACCCUGAACAUGCCCAAUCUCAUUUGAUCUCAGAAGCUAAGCAGGGUCGGGCCUGGUUAGUACUUGGAUGGGAGAAAAACACUGUCAGCCCAGAAUACUGUACCCU